rnacentral:rRNA from 2 species
AUGACUCUCGGCAACGGAUAUCUCGGCUCUCGCAUCGAUGAAGAACGUAGCGAAAUGCGAUACUUGGUGUGAAUUGCAGAAUCCCGUGAACCAUCGAGUUUUUGAACGCAAGUUGCGCCCGAAGCCGUUAGGCUAAGGGCACGUUUGCCUGGGCGUCGUA